rnacentral:rRNA from 1 species
GACGAACGCUGGCGGCGUGCUUAACACAUGCAAGUCGGACGGGAAGGCUCCAGCUUGCUGGAGGACUCGAGUGUCGAACGGGUGAGUAACACGUGGGUAGGCUGCCCUGCACUCUGGGAUAAGGCUGGUAAACUGGGUCUAAUACUGGAUAUGACCGUACCCCCUAGGGGGGUUGGUGGAAAGUGUUUCGGUGUCGGAUGAGCCCGCGGCCUAUCAGCUUGUUGGUGGGGUGAUGGCCUACCAAGGCGACGACGGGUAGCCGGCCUGAGAGGGUGAUCGGCCACAUUGGGACUGAGGUACCGCCGAGACUCCUACGGGAGGCAGCAGCAGGGAAUAUUGCACCAUGGGCGGAAGCCUGAUGCCGCGACGCCGCGUGGGGGAUGACGGCCUUCGGGUUGUAAACCUCUUCCAGCACGGACGAAGCGUAAGUGACGGUACCUGCAGAAGAAGCACCGGCUAACUAUGUG